UACGGAGGGGGCUAGCGUUAUUCGGAAUUACUGGGCGUAAAGCGCACGUAGGCGGCUUUGUAAGUAAGAGGUGAAAGCCCGGAGCUCAACUCCGGAACUGCCUUUUAGACUGCAUCGCUUGAAUCCAGGAGAGGUGAGUGGAAUUCCGAGUGUAGAGGUGAAAUUCGUAGAUAUUCGGAAGAAACACCAGUGGCGAAGGCGGCUCACUGGACUGGUAUUGACGCUGAGGUGCGAAAGCGUGGGGAGCAAACAGG
rnacentral:rRNA from 1 species